AUUGAACGCUGGCGGCAGGCUUAACACAUGCAAGUCGAGCGGUAGAGGGGAGCUUGCUUCCCUUGAGAGCGGCGGACGGGUGAGUAAUGCCUAGGAAUCUGCCUGGUAGUGGGGGACAACGUUCGGAAACGGACGCUAAUACCGCAUACGUCCUACGGGAGAAAGUGGGGGAUCUUCGGACCUCACGCUAUCAGAUGAGCCUAGGUCGGAUUAGCUAGUUGGUAGGGUAGAGGCCUACCAAGGCGACGAUCCGUAACUGGUCUGAGAGGAUGAUCAGUCACACUGGAACUGAGACACGGGCCAGAAUCCUACGGGAGGCAGCAGUGGGGAAUAUUGGACAAUGGGCGCAAGCCUGAUCCAGCCAUGCCGCGUGUGUGAAGAAGGUCGUCGGAUUGUAAAGCACUUUAAGUUGGGAGGAAGUUCAGUAAGUUAAUACCUUGUUGGAUUGACGUUACCGACAGAAUAAGCACCGGCUAACUCUGUGCCAGCCGCCGCCGUAAGAC
rnacentral:rRNA from 1 species